AUACGUAGGGGGCAAGCGUUGUCCGGAAUUACUGGGCGUAAAGCGCGCGUAGGCGGUUUGGUCAGUCGGAUGUGAAAGCCCCAGGCUCAACCUGGGAAUGGCAUUCGAUACUGCCUGACUAGAGUAUGGUAGAGGGAAGUGGAAUUUCCGGUGUAGCGGUGAAAUGCGUAGAUAUCGGAAGGAACACCAGUGGCGAAGGCGGCUUCCUGGACCAAUACUGACACUGAGGCGCGAAAGCGUGGGGAGCAAACAGGAUUAGAAACCCCGGUAGUCC
rnacentral:rRNA from 1 species